ensembl:lncRNA
GAGAGACAGAAACGACCCUAGGCACUCAUUCGUUAACCUCUAUGUUUCCAACCAUAGUCCUGAAGUACACCUGUUUAGUGGGGUUUUUUUUUCAUGCUCAUAUUUCACCUGAUUGGCUAAUUAUCAGGCCUCUGAGUUGAUCAGAGCAGGGAAACCGUUCAAAUGUAUAGGACAGGGGGUAUUCUAGGAUCAGGGAUAUGAGCCUGUGUGCUAAUUUGCAGCAGUAAUUUAAAAACAUCAUCAUCAUAAUGUUGUUGGACAUGAAUUAAACAUCUAGGUGGCGCUGUUGUGGAGAUGAACUGGAUUCUGUAGCAGCAGGUGAUGCCAAUAUUCAAUGAAAGGCUACAUAUUUUACUAACUUUCGCAUACCAGGACUAAUAAGUAGAGUAAUUAAAGCUAAUUACUUUAUACGUGCAAAUAGUAAGAGUGGCAAACUGUAAAACAGAUUUUUUAUAAUUUGUAUGGUUUUUCUUACUGAAAAUUUUACUGUCGGAAGAGUUUGGAUUGAGACUGUCCUUUUAGAUACUCGCGAUAGUAUGUUAGGGUUUUGGGGGUUUUUUUUUUUUCUUGGGGGGAGACAUAAGUUUCCUUUGAUGCAUUCUGGUGGUAAAUGCUGCAAGUCCAGAAUAAAUGAAAUGAAGAUAUCAUGCCACCAAAAAAACGACGUCAGGAGCUUUUUCCCCACCCAAAGCGAAACUCAAAAAUCAAGUAGGCCUAAAGAUGCCAUAGGGCAGGUUGAGGGAGAAUCAGCUGGACCUUCAGGGCUUCAGGAGACAGUCAGUGUGAGUGAGGAUGAUCCUGAAGCAAGUCAGUGUAGCAGUGUCAUGGACAUGGGGAGUAAGCCAUUCCAGCCUGAUCCAAAAUUCAUCGAAGUACAGCAACUUCCAGACAAGAUUUUGCGGUUUCAG